rnacentral:misc_RNA from 1 species
GGAUCACUAACAAGAACUAUUAAAGUCUUGUAUAAAGGAGUGUAUCCUAGCUAAAAAGAAAGAUGUAAAAUUAAGCUACUAACGCUUUCAUUAAGAUUGGCUAGCUUCCAUAAAUGGGACCAGAGAUGGGGGCGAUAGAUAUGGAGGAAUCUUAGACCUUUCCAAUGGUCGAGGGAAUCGAAAAUAAGCAUUUCACGAGCUAACUACAUGGUUCAUUCGCCCCUACUUGGGCUUGGAAAAAAACAGCUUCUUUUGCUCGCUACGGGAACGGUUAUCGCAUUUUCUUCUUUUGACUUCAGUCCCUUUGCUUAUAUUGGAUGGAGGUAACGGGCCACCACACCACUCUGAUUAGCCUUGCGUUAGUUAUUGGUCUCAUUUGGUUCUGCAACCUCACUCAACCCUAACCCUCUCCUCACACCCACAGCCCUGACCGGAAGUAGAGUACAGUUUGAGAUAGGAAUCGAUGACCAAUCGAAAGAUUGAUUAGCUCGAGUGAGAAGUCCGAAGAGAAACGUAUUCCUCCUUUCUUGAUUCAAUUCCUUAGCGCAUCACCCUUACUGGUCGCCGUAGAAAGGACGGUAUUCGUAUACUGAUAGCACCUACCAGGCAGGACGGAUUGGCUUAAGACCGGAAUGUUUGACUUAACCAUUCCUUUACUUGAUUUGGGAAAGCUUCUAGCUGUCUGUACUCCACGCUAAGGAACUCAGUCAUGAAAUAGCGGAUCUCUCUCAUAACAGAAGGAAAGCAAGAAGUACCCUAUCGACCGAAGCUACACAAAUCCUUAACUACUGAAUAACUAAUACUAAUGGAAGGGCUUUAAGCUACCGAUGAAGCAAACAAGGGCUACCAGAAGAACGGCAUCCGUUUGUUUUCCACAAGACAGUUGCGAGAGACCAAUUCUCGAUAGAGGAGAGUACGACAGAAGACAGGGCGAGACGAGCUAUUGAAAGGCUUCAAUUUACAGGUAAAGGACAGACUGAUUGCAUCUACCGGGCACAGGACUUAUUGGCUUAAGAAGGAAGCCAAAGAAAGAAGGGAUUCGCUUACUUUUAUAACAGGGAAAAAAGAGCUCUAAUUGAUGUUCCUGGUCUAGCUCAGUCAAUGGUUACACUUGACACCUUCUCCUC